rnacentral:rRNA from 1 species
GAUGAACGCUAGCGGCAGGCCUAAUACAUGCAAGUCGAACGAUCGUUCUUAGUUUACUAUGAACGGAGUGGCGCACGGGUGCGUAACACGUAUGCAACCUACCUUUAUCUGGGGAAUAGCCUUUCGAAAGGAAGAUUAAUACCGCAUAACAUUAUUGAAUGGCAUCAUUUAAUAAUCAAAGUUCAGGCGGAUAAAGAUGGGCAUGCGCAACAUUAGCUAGUUGGUGAGGUAACUGCUCACCAAGGCUACGAUGUUUAGGGGGUCUGAGAGGAUGAUCCCCCACACUGGUACUGAGACACGGACCAGACUCCUACGGGAGGCAGCAGUAGGGAAUAUUGGGCAAUGGAGGAAACUCUGACCCAGCCAUGCCGCGUGAAGGACGAAGGCCCUAUGGGUCGUAAACUUCUUUUAUAAGGGAAGAAAAAGCGUUACGUGUAACGCUCUGACAUUACCUUACGAAUAAGGAUCGGCUAACUCCG